CCCACACCGUUACCCAGCCAGCAGGGCACUGAGCGGUGGUGGGGUGGGGGCUGGUACUUGGGGGGCUGGACCUCUGACCCCCCCACACACCAUUACCCAGCCAGCAGGGCACUGAGCAGCCGGCGGGGCUGGUACUUUAGGGGACGGACCUGACCUCCCCCCACACCGUUACCCAGCCAGCAGGGCACUGAGCGCAGCCGGCGGGGCUGGUACUUUAGGGGACGGACCUGACCUCCCCCCACACCGUUACCCAGCCAGCAGGGCACUGAGCGGCCGGGGGGGCUGGUACUUGGGGGGCUGUAGCCCUGACCCCCCCCACCUUUACCCAGCCGGCAGGGCGCUGAGCGGUAGGGAUGGUGAUUGGUACUUGGGGGAACGGAGCCCUGACCCCCAUCUCCUCCCAGGGCCCCCCCCCCCCCACUGAGCAGCGUACUGGGCAGCCAUGGUGCUGAGCGGUGAGGGGGGGGAGAUGGGGGAUUGGUACUUAGGGGGCCGAAGCCUUGACCCCCAUCUCCCCCCAGGACCCCCCCCCCACUCGGUGGCAUACCAGGCUCCCACGGCACUGAGAUGUGGGGGAGGAGCAGUGGGGGCUGUUGGGAGCCCUGACCCCCCCAUCUCC